rnacentral:rRNA from 1 species
GGUGAACGCUAGCGGCAGGCUCAAUACAUGCAAGUCGUGGGGCAGCAUGAAUGUAGCAAUACAUUUGAUGGCGACCGGCAAACGGGUGCGGAACACGUACACAACCUUCCUAUAAGUGGGGAAUAGCCCAGAGAAAUUUGGAUUAAUACCCCGUAACAUAACGAUGUGGCAUCACAUUGUUAUUAUAGCUUCGGCGCUUAUUUAUGGGUGUGCGGCUGAUUAGAUAGUUGGCGGGGUAACGGCCCACCAAGUCUACGAUCAGUAGCUGAUGUGAGAGCAUGAUCAGCCACACGGGCACUGAGACACGGGCCCGACUCCUACGGGAGGCAGCAGUAAGGAAUAUUGGUCAAUGGACGCAAGUCUGAACCAGCCAUGCCGCGUGAAGGAUUAGGGUCCUCUGGAUUGUAAACUUCUUUUAUCUGGGACGAAAAAAGGCGAUUCUUCGUCACUUGACGGUACCAGAUGAAUAAGCACCGGCUAACUCCGUGCCAGCCGCCGCUGUAAAAC